rnacentral:lncRNA from 1 species
CGUAGUUUCUUCCCAGACCUGAUCUUGCUGAAAUAGAAAUUCCACUCUCCGUGUCCUACAUUGCCACCGAGGUGCAAGGCACAAAGUCCUGCCUUGUUUCCUCAAGGGGAGACAGGCCAAAAAGCGUCUUGCUUCCAGCUCUUUGUGAAGCUAAGAAACAACUCGCUCUCCUCAAUGCUCUUAGAGCCUACCGGGAACAUCUCUUACAAAUGACUUUGAAACGCAGUUUCUUCUCAGCCCUGAUUUCGCUGAAGUAGAACUUCUGCUCUGCCGUGUAAUACAUUUGCCUAGAGGUGGAAGUCACAAUGGCCUGCCUGACUUCCUUAAGAGGAGACAGGCCACAGACCGCCUCGCCUCCAGCUCUUUGGCAAGGUGAGAAAGGACUCGCUUUCCACAGCGCUCUUACAGCCUACCAGGAAACUCUCAUACAAAGGCCUGAAAUGCAGUUUGUUUGCAGCCAUGAUGUCAGCGCCUUGGAACUUCUGCUCUAAGCCAUGUCCCACAUUGCUCUAGAGGUGUAAGACACAAAGCUCUGAGUCAAUGUCGCCACAGGAGACAAGCCAAAAACGGUCUUGCUUCCAGCUCGUGGGAAGCUAAGCAACAACUCACUCUCCACAGUGCUCUUACAGCCUACCGAGAAAAUCUCUCACAAGGGGCUGUGAAAAGCAGUUUCUUUCCAGCCCUGAUCUCGCUGAAUUAGAACUUCUCCUCUGCCAUGUUCUACCUUGCUUUAGAUGUGGAACUGACAAAGCUAUGAGUCAUUGCCUCCAAAGGAGAAAAGCCACAAUGGGUCUUGCUUCCAGGUCUCGGAAGCUAAGAAACAAGUGCUUCUCCAUAGUGCUCUUAGAGCCUAGCGGGAACAUCUCUCACAAAGGUCUGUGAAACACAGUUUCUUCCCAGCCCUUAUCUCACUGAAGUAGAACUUCUUCUCUGCCGUGUCCUACAUUGCCCUAGAGGUGGAAGUCAAAAAGCCCUGUCUGGCUUCACUCAGUGGAGACAGGACACACACCGUUUUGCUUCCAGCUCUUUCUCAAGGUGGGAAAGAACUCCCUUUCCCCUGGGCUCUUAUUGCCAACUUGUAAUCUCUCAUACAAAGACCUGAAAUGCAGUUUGUAUCCAGCGCUGAUGUCACAGCCUUGGAUCUUCUGCUCUAAGCCAUGCCCUACAUUGCUCUAGAGCUGGCAGUCACUAACACUGAGUCAUUGCCUCCAAGGGAGAAAAGCCACACACGGUCUUCCUUCCAACUCUUUGGGAAGGGAAGAAACAACUGGUUCUCCACAGUGCUCUAACAGCCUAAAGGGAACAUCUAUGACAAAGGCCUGUGAAAGGCAGUUUCUUCCCAACCCUGAUCUCACUGAAGUAAAACUUCUGCUCUGCCGUGUAAUACAUUGGCAUAGAGGGGGAAGUCACAAAGCCCUGCCUGGCUUCCUUAAGAGGAGACAGGCCACAGACCUUCUUGCUUCCUGCUCUUUCGCAAUGUUUGAAAGAACUCGCUAUCCCCUG